rnacentral:rRNA from 1 species
GGUUAAGCGACUAAGCGUACACGGUGGAUGCCCUGGCAGUCAGAGGCGAUGAAGGACGUGCUAAUCUGCGAAAAGCGUCGGUAAGGUGAUAUGAACCGUUAUAACCGGCGAUGUCCGAAUGGGGAAACCCAGUGCAAUUCGUUGCACUAUCGUUAACUGAAUACAUAGGUUAACGAGGCGAACCGGGGGAACUGAAACAUCUAAGUACCCCGAGGAAAAGAAAUCAACCGAGAUUCCCCCAGUAGCGGCGAGCGAACGGGGAGCAGCCCGGAGUCUGAAUCAGCUUGUGUGUUAGUGGAAGCGUCUGGAAAGUCGCAGGGUACAGGGUGAUACUCCCGUACACUAAAACACACAGGCUGUGAACUCGAAGAGUAGGGCGGGACACGUGGUAUCCUGUCUGAAUAUGGGGGGACCAUCCUCCAAGGCUAAAUACUCCUGACUGACCGAUAGUGAACCAGUACCGUGAGGGAAAGGCGAAAAGAACCCCGGCGAGGGGAGUGAAAAAGAACCUGAAACCGUGUACGUACAAGCAGUAGGAGCCC